CGAACGGGUGAGUAAUGCGUGACCAACCUGCCCCAUGCUCCAGAAUAGCUCUUGGAAACGGGUGGUAAUGCUGGAUGCUCCAACUUGACGCAUGUCUUGUUGGGAAAGUGUUUAGUGGCAUGGGAUGGGGUCGCGUCCUAUCAGCUUGUAGGCGGGGUAAUGGCCCACCUAGGCUUCGACGGGUAGCCGGCCUGAGAGGGCGGACGGCCACAUUGGGACUGAGAUACGGCCCAGACUCCUACGGGGCAGCAACG
rnacentral:rRNA from 1 species